rnacentral:sRNA from 1 species
AUCGCUGAAUUCUUUAUUCGGUAAAGAAACGGGGGAACCAAUCGAAACCAGCCUGACAGCCGGUUUCCGGGGUGAAUCGCUUCAUUGGGCCAUCUUGGCCGGAGAGCGUAGGGCUGCUUUCGUGCCCGAAUCCGUCAGCUAACUCCGUAAGCGUCCGAAAGAGGG